rnacentral:tRNA from 1 species
UCCCUGGCGGUCCAGUGGUAGGGCUCGGUACUUCCACUGCUGAGAGCCUGGGUUCGAUCCCUGGUUGGGGAA